UACGAAGGGGGCUAGCGUUGCUCGGAAUUACUGGGCGUAAAGGGCGCGCAGGCGGCCUCUUGAGGUCAGAUGUGAAAGCCCCGGGCUCAACCUGGGAAUGGCAUUUGAUACUCGAGGGCUUGAGUACGGGAGAGGAGAGUGGAAUUCCCAGUGUAGAGGUGAAAUUCGUAGAUAUUCGCAAGAACACCAGUGGCGAAGGCGGCUCACUGGCCCGAUACUGACGCUGAGGCACGAAAGCGUGGGGAGCAAACAGG
rnacentral:rRNA from 1 species